rnacentral:tRNA from 1 species
GGAUUGUGGCUCAGUGGUAGAGUGCUUGCCUAGCAUGUGUGAAGCACUGGGUUCGAUCCUCAACACCA